GGUAGAUGGAGCUUGCUCUAUGUACCUUAGCAGCGAACGGGUGAGUAACACGUAGAUAAUCUGUCCUAUAUUGGGGGAUAGCCCGAUGAAAGUUGGAUUAAUACCGCAUACAGCUAUAUAGUUGCAUGAUUAUAUAGUGAAAGAUUUAUUGAUAUAGGAGGAGUCUGCGGCACAUUAGCUAGUAGGUGAGGUAAGAGCUUACCUAGGCGACGAUGUGUAGCCGGUCUGAGAGGAUGAACGGCCACAAUGGAACUGAGACACGGUCCAUACUCCUACGGGAGGCAGCAGUGGGGAAUAUUGCACAAUGGGGGAAACCCUGAUGCAGCAACGCCGCGUGAGUGAAGAAGGUCUUCGGAUUGUAAAGCUCUGUUAGCAGGGAAGAGGAAGGACGGUACCUGCAGAGGAAGCCACGGCUAACUACGUGCCAGCAGCCGCGGUAAUACGUAGGUGGCAAGCGUUGUUCGGAAUAACUGGGCGUAAAGGAUGCGUAGGCGGUUAAAUAAGUUAUAUGUUAAAUAUAUAGGCUUAACCUGUAGAAAGCAUAUAAAACUGUUUAACUAGAGUGCAGGAGAGGUAAGUGGAAUUCCUAGUGUAGCGGUGAAAUGCGUAGAGAUUAGGAAGAACACCAGUGGCGAAGGCGACUUACUGGACUGUAACUGACGCUGAGGCAUG
rnacentral:rRNA from 1 species